UACGAAGGGGGCUAGCGUUGCUCGGAUUCACUGGGCGUAAAGGGUGCGUAGGUGGUGAGGUAAGUCGGAUGUGAAAGCUCGGAGCUCAACUCCGAAAUGGCAUUGGAAACUACCUUGCUCGAGGGUUGGAGGGGGGACUGGAAUACUUGGUGUAGCAGUGAAAUGCGUAGAUAUCAAGUGGAACACCAGUGGCGAAGGCGAGUCCCUGGACAACUCCUGACACUGAGGCACGAAAGCUAGGGGAGCAAACGGG
rnacentral:rRNA from 1 species